AGAGUGAACGCUGGCGGUAGGCCUAACACAUGCAAGUCGAACGGCAGCACAGUGGUAGCAAUACCAUGGGUGGCGAGUGGCGGACGGGUGAGGAAUACAUCGGAAUCUACCUUUUCGUGGGGGAUAACGUAGGGAAACUUACGCUAAUACCGCAUAAGACCUUCGGGUGAAAGCCGGGGACCUUCGGGCCUGGCGCGGAUAGAUGAGCCGAUGUCGGAUUAGCUUGUUGGCGGGUAAAAGCCCACAAGGCGACGAUCCGUAGCUGGUCUGAGAGGAUGAUCAGCCACACUGGAACUGAGACACGGUCCAGACUCCGUACGGAGCAGCGAGUGGGGAAUAUUGGACAAGUGGGCGACAAGGCCUGAUCCAGCCAUACCGCGUGGGUGAAGAAGGCCUGGGUUAGUAAAGCCUUUGUUACGGAAAGUAAGUACC
rnacentral:rRNA from 1 species